rnacentral:lncRNA from 1 species
CUGUAGAUAUUAAAGGAACAAUAAAACCACAGAUGUAGUUUUUACACUUUGUUUUUUUAUAGGAAUCAAACAAACAAGAUAUAAUGUGCUAACUACUGAGAUUUAGAAGUUCUGGUCGGUGGAUGUUUUGUUACAUUUGGACAGAGACCAGCUGUUUUUAGUCUUUAUGCUAAGCUAAGCUAACUAGCUGCUAGCUAUAGCACAUUUUCCUUUAAGUACAAAUAUUAUUAAAAAAACGAAUAAUCAUAUGAAUAUAUGUAUAUAUUUUAAAACACUGCUCAGUAUUAUAUAAAAAAAUUAAUAAUUCACAUAAUGUAUUGCAGGUUCCUGUUUUUUAGGUUGCAUGCGAGUUUAUUUCCUCUCUUGUGUUUCUGUCCAUCAGGCUGAGAGUUCGGAGGGCGGCGCUGUGGAGCCGGACGGAGAAGUGCUGGUCCGAGUCAAGUUUAACAGCCAGGGUGUCUGACUCUAGGAGCAGGAAGAGAUGUCGUCCACAGGACGCCCUUCUCUGAGGGUGAGAGUGGGCUCAUGCUGGCUCUCUGAAGGCGGAGCUGUGGCCCCUCCUGCCCCUCUGAGGGGCUCUAACAGACCCUGGGUCACCGUGGCAACCGGCGUUGGGAAGCCCAACAGGUGGAGCGGCGUCAGCCUCCACGUGUCUCGCCAACGUCAGGAGGAACAUGACGACAACAGGCUCGGCACUUUAAGACGUUCACAGUUCAGUGUUUAUAAGAUCUGCGAGAUGUAUUCCGUUAACAAAGCGUGCACACGAGUGAAGGAAAUGUUUUUAAUGUAUUUAAAUCUGGAGCUUGAGCUUCCCUCUUCUUAAAGUCACUAUAAGUAUGCUGAAACAUUAAAUACCCCCAUAUUAAAAUAGUUUUAUUUAUCGCUGCUAUAGUAUCUAUCUGCACAGAAUACGACAGCCUCUGUUCUUCUCAACAGAUAAGAAAGAAACUCCCCAAACCUCAUGACAGUAUGUCAUUAAGCAAACAUAUUUCUGGUUGCAUGGCAAGUCGCAGGAAGUGCGUUCUGUCAUCAAUGCUCAACCUCUCAGCAGUUUAAUGUGGAAGAAAGAUGGAAAAGAUAUAUUUUGUUAUAUAUGUGCACUUUUCAUAUGCAGCCCUGAAUCAUAUGCAUCAUAACAAAUGAGAAUUCCUGCUAUAUUAUGCCAUAAUGUACUUUUAAAGUCAUAUAGUGUGUAAUAAAAACAUGAUUGUAUAGUAUGUCAUAAAGAUGUCCUUUUUUUAAUAAAAAAAAAGUAAAAAAUCAUCGUAUAAUAUGUCAAAAAAUUAAUAAAUCUCAUUGUAUAGUG